GUAGUCCACGCCGUAAACGAUGUCAACUAGCCGUUGGGGACCUUAGUGUCCUUGGUGGCGUAGCUAACGCGCUAAGUUGACCGCCUGGGGAGUACGGUCGCAAGAUUAAAACUCAAAUGAAUUGACGGGGGCCCGCACAAGCGGUGGAGCAUGUGGUUUAAUUCGACGCAACGCGAAGAACCUUACCAGGUCUUGACAUCCAGAGAACUUUCCAGAGAUGGAUUGGUGCCUUCGGGAGCUCUGAGACAGGUGCUGCAUGGCUGUCGUCAGCUCGUGUCGUGAGAUGUUGGGUUAAGUCCCGUAACGAGCGCAACCCUUAUCCUUAUUUGCCAGCGGGUAAUGCCGGGAAC
rnacentral:rRNA from 1 species